rnacentral:rRNA from 2 species
CUUUGGGGUGUGACUGCGUACCUUUUGUAUAAUGGGUCAGCGACUUAUAUUCUGUAGCAAGGUUAACCGUAUAGGGGAGCCGGAGGGAAACCGAGUCUUAACCGGGCGUUAAGUUGCAGGGUAUAGACCCGAAACCCGGUGAUCUAGCCAUGGGCAGGUUGAAGGUUGGGUAACACUAACUGGAGGACCGAACCGACUAAUGUUGAAAAAUUAGCGGAUGACCUGUGGCUGGGGGUGAAAGGCCAAUCAAACCGGGAGAUAGCUGGUUCUCCCCGAAAGCUAUUUAGGUAGCGCCUCGUGAAUUCAUCUCCGGGGGUAGAGCACUGUUUCGGCUAGGGGGCCAUCCCGGCUUACCAACCCGAUGCAAACUGCGAAUACCGGAGAAUGUUAUCACGGGAGACACACGGCGGGUGCUAACGUCCGUCGUGAAGAGGGAAACAACCCAGACCGCCAGCUAAGGUCCCAAAGUCAUGGUUAAGUGGGAAACGAUGUGGGAAGGCCCAGACAGCCAGGAUGUUGGCUUAGAAGCAGCCAUCAUUUAAAGAAAGCGUAAUAGCUCACUGGUCGAGUCGGCCUGCGCGGAAGAUGUAACGGGGCUAAACCAUGCACCGAAGCUGCGGCAGCGACGCUGAUGCGUUGUUGGGUAGGGGAGCGUUCUGUAAGCCUGCGAAGGUGGCCUGUGAGGGUUGCUGGAGGUAUCAGAAGUGCGAAUGCUGACAUAAGUAACGAUAAAGCGGGUGAAAAGCCCGCUCGCCGGAAGACCAAGGGUUCCUGUCCAACGUUAAUCGGGGCAGGGUGAGUCGACCCCUAAGGCGAGGCCGAAAGGCGUAGUCGAUGGGAAACGGGUUAAUAUUCCCGUACUUGGUGUUACUGCGAAGGGGGGACGGAGAAGGCUAUGUUGGCCGGGCGACGGUUGUCCCGGUUUAAGCGUGUAGGUGUGUGUUCCAGGUAAAUCCGGUUCACUUUAACACUGAGGCGUGAUGACGAGGCACUACGGUGCUGAAGCAACAAAUGCCCUGCUUCCAGGAAAAGCCUCUAAGCAUCAGGUAACAUCAAAUCGUACCCCAAACCGACACAGGUGGUCAGGUAGAGAAUACCAAGGCGCUUGAGAGAACUCGGGUGAAGGAACUAGGCAAAAUGGUGCCGUAACUUCGGGAGAAGGCACGCUGACA